rnacentral:misc_RNA from 1 species
UUUCCGUAGGUGAACCUGCGGAAGGAUCAUUAAAGAGUAAGGGUCUUCGGGUCCGAUCUCCAACCCUUUGUUUAACUACCAUGUUGCUUUGGCGGGCCCGUCUCACGACCGCCGGAAGUUUGGCUUCGACCAAACUUCUGGCCCGUGCCCGUCAGUGGCCCCUUCAAAUUCUUGAUCAAGUAUGAUGUCUUAGUUAAAAACUUAAUAGUUAAAACUUUCAACAACGGAUCUCUUGGUUCUG